rnacentral:rRNA from 1 species
CGGGUGCACUGAUCCGGCCGGGCCUUUCCCUCUGUGGAACCCCAUGGCCUUCACUGGCUGUGCGGGGGAAACAGGACUUUUACUGUGAAAAAAUUAGAGUGCUCCAGGCAGGCCUAUGCUCGAAUACAUUAGCAUGGAAUAAUAGAAUAGGACGCGUGGUUCUAUUUUGUUGGUUUCUAGGACCGCCGUAAUGAUUAAUAGGGACAGUCGGGGGCAUCAGUAUUCAAUUGUCAGAGGUGAAAUUCUUGGAUCUAUUGAAGACUAACUACUGCGAAAGCAUUUGCCAAGGAUGCUUUCAUUGAUAAGGAACGAAAGUUAGGGGAUCGAAGACGAUCAGAUACCGUCGUAGUCUUAACUAUAAACUAUGCCGACUAGGGAUCGGACGAUGUUAUUUCUUGACGCGUUCGGCACCUUUCGAGAAAUCAAAGUGCUUGGGCUCCAGGGGGAGUAUGGUCGCAAGGCUGAAACUUAAAGAAAUUGACGGAAGGGCACCACCAGGGGUGGAACCUGCGGCUUAAUUUGACUCAACACGGGGAAACUCACCAGGUCCAGACACAGUGAGGAUUGACAGAUUGAGAGCUCUUUCUUGAUUCUGUGGGUGGUGGUGCAUGGCCGUUCUUAGUUGGUGGAGUGAUUUGUCUGCUUAAUUGCGAUAACGAACGAGACCUUAACCUGCUAAAUAGCCCGUACUGCUCUGGCAGUUCGCCGGCUUCUUAGAGGGACUAUCGG